UUCUUAGUAUUGAUUCAGAUUCAGUCGAUGAGUUUCUCUCGCUUCUGCGCGUUGCGUGUUUCGCAGUGUUUCCGCGAUUUUUUCUUUGUCAUCAUCGUUGCCCACAGUCGCCGCUCGUGCGCCCCUCCGAUUUCAACUGUUAUACGGCGUUCACUUUGUACGGUGCUUUCAAUGUAACGAGUCACAGAAAAUUGCCAAGCAGGCAAAAACACCUACGCGAACAGAACAAUACCAGCAACAUCACCUCAAAGAGAAACCUGAAUCGCAACGUUGUGAUUUCAUUCAACUGCUUGUUGGAUGUGUGUGUGUUUGAGUGCGCGUUAGUGUGUCCGCAGAGGGUAAAGUAAAACAUGAAUGUGCAGACACUACAAACACAUGCAUAUAGAUGCACGUGUGUGUAGAUAUACAAAUACAGAAGGAAGUGUAGAUAGGCAUAAAUGUAUACGGUAAAGAUAUGUCUCCCUUGUGUUUCUCAAGACAUACCCUGUAGUUCUGAAUGUCAUUAAACGAGCUUGUAUAUGGGAUUGGUAAUGACUCUGUUGGAACUAGCCUCCAAGGUACACCUGGGUAACGGGUAUCCAAACGUGUCUAGAAACUUUGCCUCCCUUUGUAGGCAGCUAUCGCAAUAGGUUGUCUGCUGCCGAGAUCAUAAGGUAGAGUCUUGGCCCAGACCAGCAGUUCGACACGUGAGCCCCAAUGACUUUGCCGUAGGAAAUGGUAUUGUCCAAAUACAUUUUAUGUGGCCGUCUGUUUUACUUAUGUACAUGACAUAUGUACAUAUUUAGUUAGAUAGUUACAUUGGCUAGUAUGCAGUACUGUUGGGUACUACGCACACAUCUAUUGGUACUUUGAACUACCCAGAACACCAACGCAACGAGGCUUUUGCAUGACUCUCGCAAUAUGGAAAUGUGCUCACUUGUGAAAAGAAAAAAACUAGUGAUACAUUUGUUUAUCGCAAAACACUGGCCAACGAGCUCGAAAGUGAGUGAUACAGUUUUGUGCCGAAAAACAGUCGCAAACCAGCUCGCGAGAGUAAAAUCGUCUCGCAAAACGGUCGCUUUCACUGCCGCAAAGUAAACGAGGCGAUAUCAUUGGCUGGGUACAUGAAUGAACACACAUGCGGUGGUACUUGUUCAGCAGAGACGCAAGCAGCGAUAGGAAAAAUACGGACAGCGACUCGGAUCUCGGUCAGCUGAAAUCCCGAAACUUCAAUUGAAUUUUCAUUAUUUUGCAAAGGAAUGAAUAAAGGAAAUCUACAUUAAAAAUGAACA
rnacentral:sRNA from 15 species